rnacentral:rRNA from 1 species
GACGAACGCUGGCGGCGUGCCUAAUACAUGCAAGUAGAACGCACAGUUUAUACCGUAGCUUGCUACACCAUAAACUGUGAGUUGCGAACGGGUGAGUAACGCGUAGGUAACCUGCCUGGUAGCGGGGGAUAACUAUUGGAAACGAUAGCUAAUACCGCAUAAUAUUGAUUAUUGCAUGAUAAUUGAUUGAAAGAUGCUAUUGCAUCACUACCAGAUGGACCUGCGUUGUAUUAGCUAGUAGGUGAGGUAACGGCUCACCUAGGCGACGAUACAUAGCCGACCACCGAGGGUGAGCGCCCACGCUGGGACGGGGAGACGGCCCAGACCCUUACGGGAGGCAGCCGUAGGGAAUCUCUGGCGAUGGAAGAAAGUCGGACCGAGCAACGCCGCGUGAGUGAAGAAGGUUUUCGGAUCGUAAAGACCUGUUGUAAGAGAAGAACGGGUGUGAGUGUGGAAAGGUCACACUGUGACGGUAUCUGACCAGAAAGGGACGGCUAACUACGUG